GCUAUGGGCGACUCCGUUUCUUCCUCUCUGUUGAAUAUGCAGCAAGUAGGGGAAGAGCUAGCACAGUCAUUGACAUCAACUAACGUUACUUAGUGGCGAGUUAACAGCAGUUAGCAGGAAAGACAGCAAAAUGAGGCUUUGGGGAUUUUUCCAAAAGAAGUCAGUGGAGGGUAGGAAAGAUGAGCUACAGACUGAGGAGCAGCAGCAGCAGCUGUGCCAGAAUCAGGCAUGGAAACUGAUGAUUCAGGGAGGAGAGAGGAUGAGUUAGUCGAGGAUAGUACUAGAGAGAGAGAAACAACAGCAAGUGAUGAGAGAGACAACAGCAAGUGAUGAGAGAGACAACAGCAAGUGAUGAGAGAGACAACAGCAAGUGAUGAGAGAGACAACAGCAAGUGAUGAGAGAAACAACAGCAUGUGAUGAGAGAGACAACAGCAAGUGAUGAGAGAGACAACAGCAAGUGAUGAGAGAGACAACAGCAAGUGAUGAGAGAAACAACAGCAAGUGAUGAGAGAGACAACAGCAAGUGAUGAGAGAGACAACAGCAAGUGAUGAGAGAAACAACAGCAAGUGAUGAGAGAAACAACAGCAAGUGAUGAGAGAAACAACAGCAAGUGAUGAGAGAGACAACAGCAAGUGAUGAGAGAGACAACAGCAAGUGAUGAGAGAGACAACAGCAAGUGAUGAGAGAGACAACAGCAAGUGAUGAGAGAGACAACAGCAAGUGAUGAGAGAAACAACAGCAAGUGAUGAGAGAAACAACAGCAAGUGAUGAGAGAAACAACAGCAAGUGAUGAGAGAGACAACAGCAAGUGAUGAGAGAGACAACAGCAAGUGAUGAGAGAGACAACAGCAAGUGAUGAGAGAGACAACAGCAAGUGAUGAGAGAAACAACAGCAUGUGAUGAGAGAGACAACAGCAAGUGAUGAGAGAGACAACAGCAAGUGAUGAGAGAGACAACAGCAAGUGAUGAGAGAAACAACAGCAAGUGAUGAGAGAGACAACAGCAAGUGAUGAGAGAGACAACAGCAAGUGAUGAGAGAGACAACAGCAAGUGAUGAGAGAAACAACAGCAAGUGAUGAGAGAAACAACAGCAAGUGAUGAGAGAAACAACAGCAAGUGAUGAGAGAGACAACAGCAAGUGAUGAGAGAGACAACAGCAAGUGAUGAGAGAAACAACAGCAAGUGAUGAGAGAGACAACAGCAAGUGAUGAGAGAAACAACAGCAAGUGAUGAGAGAAACAACAGCAAGUGAUGAGAGAAACAACAGCAAGUGAUGAGAGAGACAACAGCAAGUGAUGAGAGAGACAACAGCAAGUGAUGAGAGAAACAACAGCAAGUGAUGAGAGAGACAACAGCAAGUGAUGAGAGAGACAACAGCAAGUGAUGAGAGAGACAACAGCAAGUGAUGAGAGAGACAACAGCAAGUGAUGAGAGAAACAACUGCAAGUGAUGAGAGAGACAACAGCAAGUGAUGAGAGAGACAACAGCAAGUGAUGAGAGAGACAACAGCAAGUGAUGAGAGAAACAACAGCAAGUGAUGAGAGAAACAACAGCAAGUGAUGAGAGAGACAACAGCAAGUGAUGAGAGAAACAACUGCAAGUGAUGAGAGAGACAACAGCAAGUGAUGAGAGAGACAACAGCAAGUGAUGAGCGAGACAACAGCAAGUGAUGAGAGAGACAACAGCAAGUGAUGAGAGAAACAACAGCAAGUGAUGAGAGAAACAACAGCAAGUGAUGAGAGAGACAACAGCAAGUGAUGAGAGAAACAACAGCAAGUGAUGAGAGAGACAACAGCAAGUGAUGAGAGAGUGAAAUAUAACAAGAAAUGAGAAGGACACCAGAUAGACAGCAAGAGCGUUCUGGUGGAAGGAGAGAGAAAAAGACAGCAACACAUGAAGAGAAGGGAGAGCGACAGGAGCAGGUGAAAAGAGAUUGACUGAACUCUCUAGGACAGUUGUUUUGUUGACUUAAAAUGUAAUAUACCAAUACACAACAGUUCAUAUUAUGUUCUACUAAAGUCUCCCACAAUUAAGAUGUACUUUGACUGAAAGUAAAGUGUUACUGUAAAAAAAAGAAUCCUGUAUUUGUACAAAACGGUCUGGGCUAAGCCCCGGAUGUCCUUCAAUGCUGGAAACGCCUCAGCCCGAGAUGCUACACAAGCAUGUCUGAGAGACGCUACACAAGCAUGUCUGAGAGACGCUACACAAGCAUGUCUGACACAGGUGUAAAUUGAUGGGUUCUUAAACAAGCCCUCAUAAUAAAUCUCCAACUGAUUGAUAAAUUCACUUGUGUAAUGGAUUGCUGUGAACUGUAUGCCAAUGAUUGACUUAUGUAAGGCAGGGUGCCAAUGUGUUUGCAUUCAAAGGCAAAGAGCAAAUGUAUGAUCUUUGAGAAAAUCAACAAAUUAACUUUCUCACAAUUAGCAACUCUUCCUGAGGCACCACACCCCACUGAGCGAAGACUGCAAAAUCACACCUCAUUGUUGCCCUUCCACAUCUAUCCCAUUCUCUCCCCUCUCCUCCUCAGAAUCACCUAAGAUCUGUAUGUAACAUAAGUCUAUAUCUGAUGUAUUCAAAUAAUGUAACUAGUGGAACAUGUUUGGAAUCAUUUAAAAUGUCUCAGUGCGUCUGGUAUAGUGCUUUUAUUCCCAGGUUUGUAAAACUUAAUGACAACAAAGUUAUAAGGUCUUUGCCAAAUGCUUUAUAAUUCUGGAGGUCUGUCCCCAUCCCUGCUUGUAUGUUAAUGAGGUAUGUCCCCAGGACUUCUAAACCUAACCACUCCCAAAAUUCCCUUUGUUCAUGGUUUGGGUAUUUAAGGAGAUGUGACACAUUGUUCAGGGUUCUCUGUAAUCAGACGAUCAAACACAGUUUACUGUUUGUAAUUUAUAUCAGGUGAUUGCAAUUCGAAUUUCUUAUGUUUCGAUAAAAUGUCUAACUUUGACUUAUCACUGUCUAAUUGGAAUUGAUGAAUUGAUUAUGUUACCUGGUCAAUAAA